AGCGAACGCUGGCGGCGUGCUUAACACAUGCAAGUCGAGUGCGCAGCUUUCUGUAGCAAUACAGGAAGUCGGCGCACGGCGCACGGGUGCGUAACACGUGGGCAAUCUGCCCUCGGAUGGGGGAUACCCCCGCGAAAGCGGGACUAAUACCGCAUGACAUUCCGAAGACCUCGGUCUUUGGACUCAAAGCCCGCAAGGGCGUCUGAGGAGGAGCCCGCGCCCGAUUAGCUAGUUGGUGAGGUAACGGCUCACCAAGGCUUUGAUCGGUAG
rnacentral:rRNA from 1 species